AUAACUUGACAUCGAUUGACCUGCGUGGUGUGCCGCGCGGUAGAUGCAAGAACACCGAAUGCGACUGCCCGGAGUUCUCGCGCGACACGGCGCCACUCACUGCGAACUCUGCUAUUCCGGCCGGAUGGUGUGCAUACUGCGGGCACUCGCCUGCCAUUCACGGCCGCUUGGAAUACCUGGACAAUAGAUGAAGAAGGACAUUCUGAAAGCGGAAUAGAUGCACCCCGCGUGAAGGCACUUUUAAAAGCAUCCUUUAUCCUGAGGACCACGUCACCAGUGGCGGUAUUACCGGCUUAUCUCCUAAACGAAGAACUGCUUGCCUUUGAAAGUGAA